ensembl:lncRNA TMEM161B-DT TMEM161B divergent transcript
AGGCGCAGCACAGGUACGUGGGCGGGCGGAUCGUGGUGGCUGCGCUUGCGAGGACCCUGAGGUAGAUUGGGUGGUUUCAACAGGAACGCAUCCACUGUCUGAGAGUUUAAACUUGAUUUUGUGAGGGGACGAACAGCGUGACAAUUAAAAGAAGAUCUGGGAAUCGUAAGUACUGACAGAAUACCUGGAGGGAAGGUGGGACUGGAGAAUAGUUUGUGAAACAGAUCCUGCUGAGGAUGAAUCCAGAACUUCCUGAAGGGUUCCGCUUCUGCUGUGUAGGGACAAGGUUGUAAAUAGACAAGCCACAGGCACCUGCAAAUGGUAAGUGUGGUAGAGAGGGGCUGGAAUUGCCUGUUGGUGUAUCUGUGGGAAGCAGCUGCUAUCCUUGAGGAAGAAAAGAUGGAGAAGGUAAGUGGCUAUCAACCUGUCAGAGACAACACAUUCUGUGAAGUUGUACUCUUUCAUUUCUGACACUGUGGUUCUUAAUAUCUGUCCUAAACCUGGCAGUCAUUGAGGUUCGCAAAGUAUCUCCUUCUAUGUGACAGUAAAACUGGAAUUACUAUCAGAAUGGAAUCCAUUCCUGCUAGAGUAAAACCAUGAAAAGAAAUCGCAGUUUUGAUUAUCUGCUUAUCAUUUUUAAUAGAUCACAGAGUGCAGUGUUCCUUAUUUGUUGUAUGGCAAGUUGAUGAAUAACUCUUGAUUAAUAUCUUUUAAUGUUCUGUUUCACACAGUUCUCUCAAUUACAUGUGAAAAAUCUGUUAUAUAAGUAAUGCUAUUUAAUGAUUAAAAUGGAUAUAUGUUUUAAGGUAGUGCCACCCAGUCUUUUUUUUUUGGUAGAAUAAUAUUAUUAUCUAUUGGUUGCCUGCCUUGAAGUACAGUAAUUUCUCUGUUUCCAUUAUUUAAAAUAGGUGAGUGUCUUUGACAAAGAUACAAAGAAAGGGGACAGUUAUGAAAGGGAAGAAAAGAUAGAUGGAGAUGAAAAGAAAUUCAGUAGUUUCAGCAAGGGAAUUAGGAGCAUAAUCUUUGAGAAAAGUCUUGGUUGCUUACCAUUCGGGCUUUGUGAUGAGUUGAAAUGUCCUGAAUGAGAACUGUUCUCAAAUGCUUUCAAGACCAACAAAAAGUACGAUACCCACACUGACCUGGAACUCUUUAAACCAUUAAGAUAUAUCACUUUUUCGCAGUUCAGUCCAUAUUUUUUGCAAAAUGUUCUGCUUAGUUUUUCUGCUAAGAAAUUACUGUUUCUGAACAAGGUUAAGUGUCGUAUGCUUUCAUUGUAGUUUUUUUUCCCCUAACAUAUACUGUUUUCCUAAUUAGACUAUAAAUUCCUCCACAGCUGGGACCUUGUUUUGUUUUCUCGCCUUCCCCAUAACAAAUAUCAUUUAAGUGAAUGUUGUAAACAGUUACUUCAUUUAAAUUGCCCUUAAAAUGCUUUAUGACAAAGACGUUAUUUGUAGUAAUACCUAUAAUGGUAAAAAGUUUGUUGCAGUCUUACAGACGAUAAGAUUGAUCAAUUGUUAUAUAUGCUUAGUGGAAUUUUAUCUAGCUGUUCUAAAGAGCCAUUAGACUAGUCUUUCUAAUGGAAAAUGUUUAUUGUCUAAGUUAAAACAGCAUUUGAGGCCAGGCACAGUGGCUCACUCCUGUUAUUGCAGCACUAUGGGAGGCUGAGGUGGGAGGAUCACUAGAGCACAAGAGUUGGAGACUAGCCUAGGCAAUAUAGUGAGACCUCUUCUCUACAAAAAAUUUAAAAAUUAGCUGAGUGUGAUGGGGUGUGCCCGUAGUUCCAGCUACUCAGGAGACUGAGGUGGGAGGAUCACUUGGGUCCAAGAGGUAGAUGUUGCAGUAAACCAAGAUCAUGCCACUGCACUGCAGCCUGGGCAACAGAGCAAGAUCCUGUCUCAAAAAAUUAAAAAGCAUUUUAUAGACUGCAUGUUUGUGUCCCCCCUCCCUCCGCACCAGAAUUCAUAUAUUGAAGCCUUAAUCUCCAAUGACAUGAUAUUAGUAGGUGGGGCCUUUGGGGGGUGAUUAAAUAAUAAGGGUGAAGCCCUGCAUGGGAUUAGUGCCUUUACAACAAGAGACCCUAGACAGCUUGCUUCCACUCUUUCUUUGCUCUUCACCAUGUGAGGACACAGCAAGAAAACAGACAACUACAAAUCAGGAAGAGGGCCUAAUUUGUGCCAACCAUGCUGGCACUCUUCUCUAACUUCCCAGCCUCCAGAACUGUGAGAAAUAAAUUUCUGUUGUUUAAGUCACCCAGUUUAUGGUAGUUUGGUUAUAGUUGCCCAUAUUAAGACAGCAGGAUGCAAAAUUGUGGCCAGUAUGAUUGCUUUGACAUGAAACAAAUUUUAAGCACAAAUUGCAAAAAGUAACCAAAAUAUAUCAAUCCCCACUGCUGGCAUUAACACUCUAAAACAAACUUUGUAUAUUGGGGGAUUUUAUUUAUUUAUUUAUUUAUUUUUUUUGCUGACCAUAGUGACUCAUGCCUAUAAUCCCAGCACUUUGGGAGGCCGAGUUGGGCAGAUCACUUGAGGCCAGGAAUUCAAGACCAGCCUGGCCAACAUGGCAAAACCCCCUCUUUACAAAAAUAUAAAAAUUAACCAGGCAUGGUGGCACACCCCUGUAGCCCCACCUACUUGGGAGGCUGAGGUGGGAGGAUCGCUUGGGCCUGUGAAGCAGAGGUUGCGGAGAGCUGUGAUGGCACCACUGCACUCCAGCCUG